GGUUGAUCCUGCCAGUAGUCAUAUGCUUGUCUCAAAGAUUAAGCCAUGCAUGUCUAAGUAUAACCAAGUUUGUACUGGGAAACUGCGAAUGGCUCAUUAAAUCAGUUAUAGUUUAUUUGAUGGUCCCUUGCUACAUGGAUAACUGUGGUAAUUCUAGAGCUAAUACAUGCAAUCAAGCCCCGACUUCUGGGAGGGGUGUAUUUAUUAGAUAAAAAACCAACGCGGCUUGCCGCUCGUUUGGUGAUUCAUAAUAACUUCUCGAAUCGCAUGGCCUUGUGCCGGCGAUGCUUCAU
rnacentral:rRNA from 1 species